GAAAUGCAAUAAGUAGUGUAAAUUAUAGAAUUUAGUAAAUCAUCAAAUCUUUAAACGCACAUUACGCCCCUUAGUAUUCUAUAGGGCAUACCUAUUCGAGCGUCAUCUACACCCUUAAGCUCUGCUUAGUGUUGGGCGUCUAUCCCGCCUUUGCGCGUGGACUCGCCCUAAAUGCAUUGGCAGCGGUCCUUGCCCCCUCCCGCGCAGCACAUUACGCUUCUCGAGGCUGCGGCGGCCCGCGUCUAAUAAGCUAAACCCCCCUGUCUUUGACCUCGGAUUAGAUAGGGAUACCCGCUAAACUUAAGC
rnacentral:misc_RNA from 1 species